rnacentral:rRNA from 1 species
AUGGAUCAAAUAAAGGAGUUGUAUGAGGGUGACGAAGACUUUGACCAUGUUUGGGUAAAGCAUGCAAGGAGCCAACCAUUAGGUGAUGACUAUUUGAUGCAAGAUGGAUAUCUCUUCGAAAAUGAUCGUUUGUGCAUUCCAAGAAGUUCUCUACAUGACAAGCUGGUUAGAGAGCUCCAUUCAAGUGAUCUUAGUGGCCAUGUUGGACGGGACAAGACUAUCGCUAACCUGGAAGCUCGCUACUUUUGGCCACAACUAAAGAGAGAUGCUAGAAAGUUCGUUCAACGGUGCCCCGUAUGUCAGACCUGCAAAGGCCAAGUCCAGAACACAUGGUUAUACAUGCCUUUGCCUGUUCCUGUUGCUUCAUGGGAGGACAUUUCUAUGGACUUUGUCUUGGGCUUGCCAAGAACAAGACGAGGAAGUGAUGCUGUAUUUGUGGUCGUGGAUAGAUUCUCUAAGAUGGCUCAUUUCAUCCCAUGCCGCAAGACAACGGAUGCUCAUCAUGUGGCAAACCUAUUCUUUCAAGAAGUGGUCAGACUUCAUGGAGUUCCAAGGUCCAUUGUCUCAGACCAUGAUAGCAAGUUUCUUGCUGCAUUUUGGCUCACUUUGUGGAAGCAAUUCAACACUGAAUUGAAAUUUUUUAGCACUGCUCAUCCACAAACAGAUGGACAACGGAAGUGGUGA